UACAGAGGGUGCGAGCGUUAAUCGGAAUUACUGGGCGUAAAGCGCACGUAGGCGGAUUGCUAAGUCAGGGGUGAAAUCCUGGAGCUCAACUCCAGAACUGCCUUUGAUACUGGCGAUCUCGAGUCCGGGAGAGGUGAGUGGAACUGCGAGUGUAGAGGUGAAAUUCGUAGAUAUUCGCAAGAACACCAGUGGCGAAGGCGGCUCACUGGCCCGGUACUGACGCUGAGGUGCGAAAGCGUGGGGAGCAAACAGG
rnacentral:rRNA from 1 species